rnacentral:rRNA from 1 species
AGAGUUUGAUCCUGGCUCAGGACGAACGCUGGCGGCGUGCCUAAUACAUGCAAGUAGAACGCUGAAGGAGGAGCUUGCUUCUCUGGAUGAGUUGCGAACGGGUGAGUAACGCGUAGGUAACCUGCCUGGUAGCGGGGGAUAACUAUUGGAAACGAUAGCUAAUACCGCAUAAGAGUGGAUGUUGCAUGACAUUUGCUUAAAAGGUGCACUUGCAUCACUACCAGAUGGACCUGCGUUGUAUUAGCUAGUUGGUGAGGUAAGGGCUCACCAAGGCGACGAUACAUAGCCGACCUGAGAGGGUGAUCGGCCACACUGGGACUGAGACACGGCCCAGACUCCUACGGGAGGCAGCAGUAGGGAAUCUUCGGCAAUGGACGGAAGUCUGACCGAGCAACGCCGCGUGAGUGAAGAAGGUUUUCGGAUCGUAAAGCUCUGUUGUAAGAGAAGAACGAGUGUGAGAGUGGAAAGUUCACACUGUGACGGUAUCUUACCAGAAAGGGACGGCUAACUACGUGCCAGCAGCCGCGGUAAUACGUAGGUCCCGAGCGUUGUCCGGAUUUAUUGGGCGUAAAGCGAGCGCAGGCGGUUAGAUAAGUCUGAAGUUAAAGGCUGUGGCUUAACCAUAGUAGGCUUUGGAAACUGUUUAACUUGAGUGCAAGAGGGGAGAGUGGAAUUCCAUGUGUAGCGGUGAAAUGCGUAGAUAUAUGGAGGAACACCGGUGGCGAAAGCGGCUCUCUGGCUUGUAACUGACGCUGAGGCUCGAAAGCGUGGGGAGCAAACAGGAUUAGAUACCCUGGUAGUCCACGCUGUAAACGAUGAGUGCUAGGUGUUAGACCCUUUCCGGGGUUUAGUGCCGUAGCUAACGCAUUAAGCACUCCGCCUGGGGAGUACGACCGCAAGGUUGAAACUCAAAGGAAUUGACGGGGGCCCGCACAAGCGGUGGAGCAUGUGGUUUAAUUCGAAGCAACGCGAAGAACCUUACCAGGUCUUGACAUCCCUCUGACCGCUCUAGAGAUAGAGUUUUCCUUCGGGACAGAGGUGACAGGUGGUGCAUGGUUGUCGUCAGCUCGUGUCGUGAGAUGUUGGGUUAAGUCCCGCAACGAGCGNAACCCCUAUUGUUAGUUGCCAUCAUUUAGUUGGGCACUCUAGCGAGACUGCCGGUAAUAAACCGGAGGAAGGUGGGGAUGACGUCAAAUCAUCAUGCCCCUUAUGACCUGGGCUACACACGUGCUACAAUGGCUGGUACAACGAGUCGCAAGCCGGUGACGGCAAGCUAAUCUCUUAAAGCCAGUCUCAGUUCGGAUUGUAGGCUGCAACUCGCCUACAUGAAGUCGGAAUCGCUAGUAAUCGCGGAUCAGCACGCCGCGGUGAAUACGUUCCCGGGCCUUGUACACACCGCCCGUCACACCACGAGAGUUUGUAACACCCGAAGUCGGUGAGGUAACCGUAAGGAGCCAGCCGCCUAAGGUGGGAUAGAUGAUUGGGGUGAAGUCGUAACAAGGUAGCCGUAUCGGAAGGUGCGGCUGGAUCACCU